GACGAGCCUCACGAACGUUAUUCGGAAUUACUGGGCGUAAAGGGGGCGUAGGCGGCCACCGCAAGUCGGUUGUGAAAUCUCUGGGCUUAACCCAGAAAGGUCAACCGAUACUGCGGGGCUAGAGUGCAGAAGGAGCAACUGGAAUUCUCGGUGUAGCGGUGAAAUGCGUAGAUAUCGGGAGGAACACCUGUGGCGAAAGCGGCGCACUGGACCACAACUGACGCUGAGGCGCGAAAGCUAGGGGAGCAAACAGG
rnacentral:rRNA from 1 species